GGUUAAAAAGCUCGUAGUUGGAUCUUGGAAUGUGAACGCGAGGUCGCUUUACUGAGUGAACUUUGUGGCGCAUUCUUCCAUUUGGUCGGUGUGUUUGUGCUCUUAAUUGAGUGCAACAUGCUACCAGAAAUUUUACCUUGAAAAAAUUAGAGUGUUCAAAGCAGACCUUUUUGUGUCUGAAUAUUCGUGCAUGGAAUAAUAAAAUAUGAAUUCGGUUCUAUUUUAUUGGUUUUCGGAACUCGAGUUAAUGAUUAAGAGGGACAGACGGGGGCAUCCGUACUCUGCCGUUAGAGGUGAAAUUCUUGGAUCGGCGGAAGACGCGCAACUGCGAAAGCAUUUGCCAAGAAUGUUUUCUUUAAUCAAGAACGAUAGUCGGAGGUUCGAAGACGAUCAGAUACCGUCCUAGUUUCGACUGUAAACCAUGCCAGCUAACGAUCAGACAGCGUUCUCUACGACUUGUCUGGCAGUUUCCGGGAAACCAAAGCUUUUGGGUUCCGGGGGAAGUAUGGUUGCAAAGCUGAAACUUAAAGGAAUUGACGGAAGGGCACCACCAGGAGUGGAGCCUGCGGCUUAAUUUGACUCAACACGGGGAAACUCACCCGG
rnacentral:rRNA from 1 species